rnacentral:rRNA from 1 species
UACGUAGGGGGCAAGCGUUGUCCGGAUUUAUUGGGCGUAAAGAGCGUGUAGGCGGCCAAGCAGGUCCGCUGUGAAAGUCAAAGGCUCAACCUUUGAAAGCCGAUGGAUACUGUGUGGCUAGAGUACGGAAGAGGCGAGUGGAAUUCCUGGUGUAGCGGUGGAAUGCGCAGAUAUCAGGAGGAACACCAAUAGCGAAGGCAGCUCGCUGGGACGUUACUGACACUGAGGCGCGAAAGCGUGGGGAGCGAACAGG